rnacentral:rRNA from 1 species
UGGGGAAUAUUGCACAAUGGGGGAAACCCUGAUGCAGCCAUGCCGCGUGUGUGAAGAAGGCCUUCGGGUUGUAAAGCACUUUCAGCGAGGAGGAAAGGUUGGCGCCUAAUACGUGUCAACUGUGACGUUACUCGCAGAAGAAGCACCGGCUUAACUCCGUGC